ACGCAGGGAGGGGAUAAGGAUGAAAUGAAGCGAGAUGCGGUUGAAGCUGGGGUGAUUCUCGGAGUUGUAGCUUAUCCCGUUGACGUGAAUCCAGGGAAUGAAGGAGGCGAGCUUCUUCAACGCGUGGGAGAAGAUUCUGGAUGCGGCCGAGACAUGGAAACUGUCGACGUGGAUGCAGGGGACUAUGCUCUUGGCUGAAGCAUGGGAAAACAGUGGGUUUGAGAGGAUCUUGGAGGGGAAGAAUAACAUGGAAUUUGGAAGAGAUGAAGCUGGGACGGCUGGCAGUUGGGAUGCGAAUGGAUCACAGAGGAAGUGGAUGGGAUGAAUCCGGAAGUUGGGAUGAAUCAAGGGGAGUUCGGCUGAGAUUGGUUCCGAAAUAGGGGAUACAGAAGAAACUUGGUUUGAUU
rnacentral:lncRNA from 1 species